UUUUUCUUCAUCUUCUUCUUUUACUCUUUUUCCAUAUUUUCUUCCUCCUCUUCCUUUUUAAUCGAUUUCAUUCUUUUUCUUUAACCUCUUUCCCUCCUCCUCCUCCUCUUCCUCCUCCUCCUCCUCCUUACCCCUUCCUCAUCACUUCACAUAAUCUUUCUAACACACAAAAAGGUGAGUAAUUAACCUGACCGUCUUAAUAGUCACAGUUACCAACACACACACGGAGGUAAUGGACGGUAUGACAAGCUUUUCAUCCCUUCUUUUUUUCUUUUUACUGUAAAGGAGGCGGGAAGCUGAGGGGAGAAAAAAAAAAUGGCUUUGGUCCCACAAAAACAAGUUGGUUCAUAAUUUUCAAACGUUUCAGGUCUCUCUCUCUCUCUCUCUCUCUCUCUCUCUCUCUCACACACACACACACAUUGGAUAAGGCUUUGGUGGAGGUUGUUGUGUUAGUAUUUCCAUGGGUAGUGUUAUGAGCCUGGUGAUAGUUUGACAAGGCUUUGGUGGAGGUUGUUGUGUUAGUAUUUCCAUGGGUAGUGUUAUGAGCCUGGUGAUAGUUUGACAAGGCUUUGGUGGAGGUUGUUGUGUUAGUAUUUCCAUGGGUAGUGUUAUGAGCCUGGUGAUAGUUUGACAAGGCUUUGGUGGAGGUUGUUGUGUUAGUAUUUCCAUGGGUAGUGUUAUGAGCCUGGUGAUAGUUUGACAAGGCUUUGGUGGAGGUUGUUGUGUUAGUAUUUCCAUGGGUAGUGUUAUGAGCCUGGUGAUAGUUUGACAAGGCUUUGGUGGAGGUUGUUGUGUUAGUAUUUCCAUGGGUGGUGUUAUGAGCCUGGUGAUAGUUUGACAAGGCUUUGGUGGAGGUUGUUGUGUUAGUAUUUCCAUGGGUAGUGUUAUGAGCCUGGUGAUAGUUUGACAAGGCUUUGGUGGAGGUUGUUGUGUUAGUAUUUCCAUGGGUGGUGUUAUGAGCCUGGUGAUAGUUUGACAAGGCUUUGGUGGAGGUUGUUGUGUUAGUAUUUCCAUGGGUAGUGUUAUGAGCCUGGUGAUAGUUUGACAAGGCUUUGGUAGAGGUUGUUGUGUUAGUAUUUCCAUGGGUGGUGUUAUGAGCCUGGUGAUAGGUUGACAAGACAUUCUGCAGUAUGACCAUGAAAAAACACUAAAACACUCCUUUGUGGUCUUGGUUAAUAGUAAUCGUGGGAGCCCAAAGCGAGCGAGAAUACCGAUCUAACAAUGGGCCAGUUUUACAGUCUAAUACAGCGAGUUGGUAAGCUCCCCAACCAAACACGAAAUACGACGAAAAUUCCUUGUGUUGUGUUUGCGUUGGUAUAAAAAGGAGGAACUUUGAAGAAACUCUGCAGGAAAACUUAUUAGCAUCUGGUAUUGAGUAGAGAUAACGGAUCAUUGUGGAAAAGACAGUUUGGGUGGGGCGCUUACAAUGACCCUGUGUUGGAUUGUCGAACUGGGCCAAUGUCACUCCUCUAAGCUAACACAGACUGGGGGAACAUACCUGUGUC